AAAUGCGAUAAGUAAUGUGAAUUGCAGAAUUCAGUGAAUCAUCGAAUCUUUGAACGCACCUUGCGCUCCUUGGUAUUCCUUGGAGCAUGCCUGUUUGAGUAUCAUGAAAUCUUCAAAGUAAAUCUUUUGUUAACUCAAUUGGUUUCUACUUUGGUAUUGGAGGUCUUUGCAGCUUCACACCUGCUCCUCUUUGUUCAUUAGCUGGAUCUCAGUGUUAUGCUUGGUUCCACUCGUCGUGAUAAGUUAUCUAUCGCUGAGGACACUGUAAAAGGUGGCCAAGGUAAAUGCAGAUGAACCGCUUCUAAUAGUCCAUUGACUUGGACAAUACUUUUAUGAUCUGAUCUCAAAUCAGGUAGGACUACCCGCUGAACUUAAGC
rnacentral:misc_RNA from 1 species